UACGUAGGGGGCAAGCGUUGUCCGGAUUUAUUGGGCGUAAAGAGCGUGUAGGCGGCCAUGUAGGUCCGUUGUGAAAACUCGAGGCUCAACCUCGAGACGCCGAUGGAAACCAUGUGGCUAGAGUCCGGAAGAGGAGAGUGGAAUUCCUGGUGUAGCGGUGAAAUGCGCAGAUAUCAGGAAGAACACCCGUGGCUAAGGCGGCUCUCUAGUACGGUACUGACGCUGAGACGCGAAAAGCGUGGGGAGCAAACAGG
rnacentral:rRNA from 1 species